rnacentral:rRNA from 1 species
UACGUAGGGGGCAAGCGUUGUCCGGAUUUAUUGGGCGUAAAGAGCGUGUAGGCGGCUUUGCAAGUCCGUUGUGAAAACUCGAGGCUCAACCUCGAGACGCCGGUGGAAACUGCAAAGCUAGGGUCCGGAAGAGGAGAGUGGAAUUCCUGGUGUAGCGGUGAAAUGCGCAGAUAUCAGGAAGAACACCCGUGGCGAAGGCGGCUCUCUGGGACGGUACUGACGCUGAGACGCGAAAGCGUGGGGAGCGAACAGG